AACAGGUAGCCGCCCUGCCCUUUCUUCCUCUACAUCGUCGAUCUCUUUCCCCAAAUCUCGGUUUCUUUGCCGAGGAUGAGACCUCCUACUCCACCGCCUCCCCCCAUCUUCACGGCUCUGAUGGACUGCCUCCGUCUGCCUCCUCGUCAUCCACCACGUCGGCACCGUGGCUCCUUUUAUCCUCUCCGGUGGUGAUCUCCAUCUUCCGUGUCGGCAGAGGAAGAAGCGGCAAUUUUUGCGGUGGGUCGACGAGAUGCAAGGGUAAUAUGAAAAAAGGGAGAAUUUUGAUUCUUUCUUAUUCAUUUUUUUAAUUGUUUUUUUUUUAGCCUUUUAACUUUUAAUUGAAUAAUUUGUUUUCUUCGAUUAUCUUUCAAUUGGUAUCAGAGCAUGAUUUUGAAGUCGAUUCAUCUUAGAGCUUAAAAUUAAUUGUUAUAUGUAUAUCUUGUUAUAUAAUUUAAUCGAUUUGUCUUUGUUCCUACAAAUCAAAGAAACGGCAAUUUCGUGACUUUCAUAGCUUAUGUUAAUUGUAUGUUCAUGUUUUCCAUUGUCGUACUUUUAUAUCCCGGUCAAAGUUCUUAAUUUUCUAAAUAAAAUAAAAUAAUAAAUAUAAACUACUGGUGGAUUUAAUAUAUAACGGUAUAUUGCAUGUAUUUGUUAUUUGGAAAUAUUCAUAACAAACUUAAAAUUAUGUCCUUCAAUUUUUAAGUAUAUUCUUUUUCUUCAAAAGGCCCAGGCUACUUGCUACUUGUGUACUAUGAAUACAUCGACAACUUUUCGUUGGACUUGAGAUUAGUUUUGAAAAAGUAAAACAUAAAUCUUAUAUGUUUGUUAUUGUUCUUAUGUUGUAUUGUAUAGUGGACUACGUUAAUUUCAAAGUGGAUUUCGAUAAAUUUAUAGUGGAUUUCGAUAAGUAUAUAUAGUGGUUUUUUUCAAUAAAUUUAUACUAAAUUUCGAUAAGUAUACACAAUGGUUUUCGUGUUUAUAUAGUUGUUUAUAUAGAGUGGUUUUCAUGUUUAUGUUGUUUACACAGAGUAGUUUUCAUGUUUAUACAGCAGUUUAUACAUAGUGGUUUUCAUGUUUAUACGACAGUUUAUACAUAGUGGUUUUCAUGUUUAUAUAGUUGUUUAUACAGAGUGGUUUUCAUUGUUGUUCCCUCAUCCAUUUUUCGUUUCAACAGAUUUAUGCAAUAUUAGUAGGUUAGAAAGAAUUUUUUUAUGAAAGAUUUCCCGGAUUUUGUUCCCACCAACGAUGGUGUGACCCCAAGGUUUGCUUUUGGAAAUUAGUUUUCAUUUUCUAAUUAAUUGUUUUCUUGUUCAGAUUGAUUUAGUGACCCUCGUCGGCCUUGUUGGUGGUGGUGUACUGGUCUUGCACUUUUUCCUGAACAUAGUAGUGGUUUACGUUUCAAAUAGUGGGUUUUCGAAUAUUGAAUUUACUUUUUUUUUGUUUGUUAUUUUUUGAGUUGUGCUAGUAGUAGGUUACAUAUGCUUUAGUGGAUUUCGAUAAGCUUGUUGUGGAUUAUGUUAAUGUUAAAGUGGAUUACGUUAAUUUUACAGUGAUUUUCGAUAACUUUGUAGUAGCUUCCGAUGAGUAUAUAGUAGAUUUUAAUUUUUG
rnacentral:lncRNA from 1 species